rnacentral:rRNA from 1 species
UGGGGAAUUUUGGACAAUGGGCGCAAGCCUGAUCCAGCAAUGCCGCGUGAGUGAAGAAGGCCUUCGGGUUGUAAAGCUCUUUUGUCAGGGAAGAAACGGCUGUGGCUAAUAUCCACGGCUAAUGACGGUACCUGAAGAAUAAGCACCGGCUAACUACGUGCCAGCAGCCGCGGUAAUACGUAGGGUGCAAGCGUUAAUCGGAAUUACUGGGCGUAAAGCGUGCGCAGGCGGUUUUGUAAGUCUGUCGUGAAAUCCCCGGGCUCAACCUGGGAAUUGCGAUGGAGACUGCAAGGCUAGAAUCUGGCAGAGGGGGGUAGAAUUCCACGUGUAGCAGUGAAAUGCGUAGAGAUGUGGAGGAACACCGAUGGCGAAGGCAGCCCCCUGGGUCAAGAUUGACGCUCAUGCACGAAAGCGUGGGGAGCAAACAGGAUUAGAUACCCUGGUAGUCCACGCCCUAAACGAUGUCUACUAGUUGUCGGGUUUUAAUUAACUUGGUAACGCAGCUAACGCGUGAAGUAGACCGCCUGGAG